rnacentral:lncRNA from 1 species
AUGCUGAGCCCCAGAGCUCAGCAACUUCUCUUUAGCAGGUUGGGAGCCAGGAAAGGGUGGCACUGGCUGCCCAGGAGCCCCCCUUCACUGCCCCACUGGUGGGCGCACAGUGGUGACCGUCUGGAAGGCCAGUUCCACCCAGAUAGUCACCAGACAUUCCCCCCUGGCCUCGAGAGGCCUCAGAAGUGCAGACACGAGACACUUGUGUCCCACAGCCUGCAUCUCUCAGUCUUGGCACACAUUAGCUGCCCACACAGGCCCUCUGACCACUUUGCCGGGCUGGCCUCAGGAUCCUUCUCUUCUCAGUGGUCUAGGCAAGUCUUUUCUGUUAUUAGCAGGACUUGCAGUUCUCAGUCCCAGAGCCCCAGGCCUCACUGUCCACUGUCCCUCUGCCACAGACUUGUGGGAUCCCGGGUCAGCCUUGCCCCUCCGGAGGAGGAUGGACAAGAGGGUCUCUCAGGCCCCUUCUGGCCCAGGGGUCAGCUUUGGCUCCUCUUUGAUCCUUGUCCUGUUGGUCAGUGGGUGAGGAUGGGCAGAAAAGGCCAUCAUGCCCCUCUGGCCCACCUGGACAAUGAAUUUCCCCAGCUGCCCCUGGGGUACAGUACUGCUGCAUCCCUUGUGCAUGGCGCUGCCCUGCUGUUACUGGCAGUUGUCACGCAGACACUGUUGGGCUGGUAUCUGUGGUUGCCCCCACCGCCCCUCUCUCUGGUCUCCACAGGAAAGGGCCUGGAGAACAAGAAACUCUGCGUGCCUGCCUCUCAGGACCUUUGUGGUGGCCUCCUUGACUCUUUGGAGGACAUCGGAGGCCCUCCGGAGUCUGGCAAGCUCCUCAUCGACACCUCUCCAUCCUGCACAUCCAGGACAGGCAGGCACAACCCAGGCAUGCCCUCCCUAGUGCCCACUCUCUCUCUGCCCUCAGGUUGCUCUUCUAUGGGGGCUUUAACUACCCGCACCUGCCCCUGGCUGGGUGCCCACUCCUCCCCACCCAUCCCAUCCCACAAGCAGGUGGGCACAUCUGGGCAUAUCCUGCCUGCUUCUCAUAAAUGGCGAGCAUUUUGCCAACAGCUGUUCUGGUCAGUGCCCCGAACAGUACCCCAUACGGUGCUGGGCACACUGUGGGUGCCCGCUGCAUAUUCACUGGCUGGCAGCAAUUGCUAA